rnacentral:tRNA from 1 species
AGCUAGGUAGGUUAAGUUAAACUGUAGUAUUGCAAAUAUUAAGAUAAGUCGGUUUCCGCUCG